UUGCCCCAAUAAGCGUCGUCACACCCAUAAGGUACGACAGCGCAUUUCGCCUCAAAUUCUUUGAGAAACGGAGAAUUUUCGAUGAUAACGCGAUUGGACACAACAAUCUUGUCAGCUCGCUUAAGCGNNNNNNNGGAUGAGUGGCCCUAAAACCCUCAUCAGCCAUGGCCGGCCGACGACCUCAGCAUGCCAAUGCACAAUCAGGAUUGAAUCCUUCGGCAUCAGAAGAACCGCCAGAUCCGUCAGCGGAAAGGGCGCGUGGUGAACGACGAUGUCCGAGGAUUUUACCCGUUCGAGGAACUUGAACGGAUAAGUCGGCGCCAGCGGCGUCGACAUAAUCAUUCCGACCGACGAAACCGCCUCGACGUUCACGCCCUGGAAUUCGUAGUUGCAUCCAAUGCCGCGCUCACAGGCGACAAGGAUCCUGGUCUCGAAGCCCUUCGGAA
rnacentral:misc_RNA from 1 species